rnacentral:tRNA from 3 species
CGGUAUAGCUCAGUCGGUAGAGCAACUGACUUGUAAUCAGUAGGUCCCGAGUUCGACUCUUGGUGCCG